AAGAAUAGCUAAGAUGAAGGAGCCAGGAUCCAAACUCGAAAGCCAAUUACUACGAGGGUUUGGUAGUAUUCUCGAGUGCUUUGUACAAUAUGGGGUAUAAAGUUGAAGCAGCCAAUUAUUUGAAAAAUCAGCUUUGUACUCUCAUAAUUUCAUAUUACUCAAAUGGAAAAUCAACAACAAUUACUUAUGAAGGAGCCAAACAAGGACUUGUUAUUAUUCUUGUCAUUCUAUUCUGCUCCUUAACAUUAUGUAUCGCUUGAGCCGUUUGUUCCUUGUGAAAACUCUGAUUCAUUGCAUUUGUGCCCCUCUCUACAU